rnacentral:rRNA from 1 species
CAUCGGGAAAUCACCCGCCCAACGGGUGGCCGUCCGGUGGAAACUGCACGGCUUGGGACCGGAAGGCGCGACGGGUACGUCCGGGGUAGGAGUGAAAUCCCGUAAUCCUGGACGGACCGCCGAUGGCGAAAGCACGUCGCGAGAACGGAUCCGACAGUGAGGGACGAAAGCCAGGCUCUCGAACCGGAUUAGAUACCCAG